GAAAUUGUGUUGACGCAGUCUCCAGGCACCCUGUCUUUGUCUCCAGGGGAAAGAGCCACCCUCUCCUGCAGGGCCAGUCAGAGUGUUAGCAGCAGCUACUUAGCCUGGUACCAGCAGAAACCUGGCCAGGCUCCCAGGCUCCUCAUCUAUGGUGCAUCCAGCAGGGCCACUGGCAUCCCAGACAGGUUCAGUGGCAGUGGGUCUGGGACAGACUUCACUCUCACCAUCAGCAGACUGGAGCCUGAAGAUUUUGCAGUGUAUUACUGUCAGCAGUAUGGUAGCUCACCUCCCACAGUGAUUCAGCUUGAAACAAAAACCUCUGCA
rnacentral:lncRNA from 1 species